GGGGUACUAGUAAAAUAACAUUACAUUGCCUUGUCAAGGCAAAAUUGCGAGUUAAAACCUCGCGUACCUUA
rnacentral:tRNA from 1 species